rnacentral:rRNA from 1 species
UACGUAGGCAGCAAGCGUUGUUCGGAGUUACUGGGCGUAAAGGGUGCGUAGGUGGACUUUUAAGUCAGUGGUGAAAGCCUGUAGCUUAACUAUAGAAUUGCCAUUGAAACUGAAAGUCUUGAGUACAGUUGAGGUGAGCGGAAUGUAUCAUGUAGCGGUGAAAUGCUUAGAUAUGAUACAGAACACCGAUUGCGAAGGCAGCUCACUAAACUGCAACUGACACUGAGGCACGAAAGCGUGGGGAUCAAACAGG